GAGUUUGAUCCUGGCUCAGGAUGAACGCUGGCGGCGUGCCUAACACAUGCAAGUCGAACGAAGCGAUUCAACGGAAAUUUUCGGAUGGAAGUUGAAUUGACUGAGUGGCGGACGGGUGAGUAACGCGUGGGUAACCUGCCUUGUACUGGGGGACAACAGUUAGAAAUGACUGCUAAUACCGCAUAAGCGCACAGUAUCGCAUGAUACAGUGUGAAAAACUCCGGUGGUACAAGAUGGACCCGCGUCUGAUUAGCUAGUUGGUAAGGUAACGGCUUACCAAGGCGACGAUCAGUAGCCGACCUGAGAGGGUGACCGGCCACAUUGGGACUGAGACACGGCCCAAACUCCUACGGGAGGCAGCAGUGGGGAAUAUUGCACAAUGGGCGAAAGCCUGAUGCAGCGACGCCGCGUGAGUGAAGAAGUAUUUCGGUAUGUAAAGCUCUAUCAGCAGGGAAGAAAAUGACGGUACCUGACUAAGAAGCCCCGGCUAACUACGUGCUAGCAGCCGCGGUAAUACGUAGGGGGCAAGCGUUAUCCGGAUUUACUGGGUGUAAAGGGAGCGUAGACGGUAAAGCAAGUCUGAAGUGAAAGCCCGCGGCUCAACUGCGGGACUGCUUUGGAAACUGUUUAACUGGAGUGUCGGAGAGGUAAGUGGAAUUCCUAGUGUAGCAGUGAAAUGCGUAGA
rnacentral:rRNA from 1 species